ACCCUCUUCCGAUCUACAGGGUUUGAGAUUCGUGUUGAUAAUAGCCUCACCAUAGGACCACCGAAAAAUCAAUGGAACUGGGACCGAGGCAGGAUCCAUUUAUCUUCUUGGGGUGAAGUAGAAGGUGUGAUUUUAAAAGACAAAUUAUACCGAAUGUGUGUAAUUGAUGUGCGUACAGAGCCGUGCAAGGAAGGCCAGCGACGCACAACCGCGCAGUAUCAGGCAUUACUCUCAUCAAGAGUUCCUUGUAACAAAGGCAACCCCAGGGCAGGGUUCAAGUGCUCUGGAGAGCAGUACUGGGAAAGGAGUUCUAGAAUGCGUUGCAUUA